UCCCUUGUAGCUUAGUCGGUAAAGAGUCUGCCUACAAUGCAGGAAACCCUGGUUCGAUUCCUGGGUCGGGAA
rnacentral:tRNA from 1 species